rnacentral:rRNA from 1 species
AUUGAACGCUGGCGGCAGGCCUAACACAUGCAAGUCGAGCGGAUGACAGGAGCUUGCUCCUGUAUUCAGCGGCGGACGGGUGAGUAAUGCCUAGGAAUCUGCCUGGUAGUGGGGGAUAACGUUUCGAAAGGAACGCUAAUACCGCAUACGUCCUACGGGAGAAAGCAGGGGACCUUCGGGCCUUGCGCUAUCAGAUGAGCCUAGGUCGGAUUAGCUAGUUGGUGAGGUAAUGGCUCACCAAGGCGACGAUCCGUAACUGGUCUGAGAGGAUGAUCAGUCACACUGGAACUGAGACACGGUCCAGACUCCUACGGGAGGCAGCAGUGGGGAAUAUUGGACAAUGGGCGAAAGCCUGAUCCAGCCAUGCCGCGUGUGUGAAGAAGGUCUUCGGAUUGUAAAGCACUUUAAGUUGGGAGGAAGGGCAUUAACCUAAUACGUUAGUGUUUUGACGUUACCGACAGAAUAAGCACCGGCUAACUCU